UCACCCUCGUGCAAAAGGGUAAGAAGCGC
rnacentral:sRNA from 1 species